rnacentral:rRNA from 1 species
AAAUGAAUUGACGGGGGCCCGCACAAGCGGUGGAGCAUGUGGCUUAAUUCGAGGCAACGCGAAGAACCUUACCUGGAUUUGACAUAUACUGGAAUCACUUAGAAAUAUUUGAGCCCGCAAGGGCCGGUAUACAGGUGCUGCAUGGCUGUCGUCAGCUCGUGUCGUGAGAUGUUCGGUUUAGUCCGGCAACGAGCGCAACCCAUGUUAUCAGUUGCUAACAGGUGAUGCUGAGCACUCUGAUAAGACUGCCUGUGUUAAGCAGGAGGAAGGCGUGGAUGACGUCAAGUCCGUAUGGCCUUUAUAUCCAGGGCCGCACACGUGCUACAAUGGUCGGCACAGAGGGAAGCAAUAUCGCGAGAUGGAGCAGAUCCUGAAAACCGAUCUUAGUUCAGAUUGCAGUCUGCAACUCGACUGCAUGAAGCCGGAAUCGCUAGUAAAGGCGUAUCAGCUACGACGCCUUGAAUACGUUCCCGGGCCUUGUACACACCGCCCGU